UAACGAAGGGGGAGCUAGCGUUGCUCGGAAUCACUGGGCGUAAAGCGCACGUAGGCGGAUUGUUAAGUCAGGGGUGAAAUCCUGGAGCUCAACUCCAGAACUGCCUUUGAUACUGGCGAUCUCGAGUCCGGGAGAGGUGAGUGGAACUGCGAGUGUAGAGGUGAAAUUCGUAGAUAUUCGCAAGAACACCAGUGGCGAAGGCGGCUCACUGGCCCGGUACUGACGCUGAGGUGCGAAAGCGUGGGGAGCAAACA
rnacentral:rRNA from 1 species